GCCUGGAUAGCUCAAUUUGGUAGAGCAGCGCAUUCGUAAUGCGAAGGUUGGAGGUUCAAGUCCUCUUUCGGGCA
rnacentral:tRNA from 1 species